CAAUAUUUAUAUAAAAAUUUUACAAGCUUAUUUGUAACCGAGUUCUAAAUUUACUUCAAAAUUUCGAAAAUAUUUUGAUGCGGGUUUGGUUUUCUGCAAAAUUUUUAUUUUUUCCAUUUUGGGAAAGUUAUGUAAAUGCUCCAGAGGAAACUACAUUUAUUUUUUCAGUUCUCAAUAUUGAAUAUCUUCGUCCCUCCAUUCAUGGCUUGGCGUUCCCAUGGAAAAAAUAAUGCAGAUCUUGUGCUAAAUUUAAAAAAAAAUGGCAUUAUAAAAGAUCCCAAAGUUGAAAGAACAAUGCUGGCUGUGGAUAGAGUCAACUAUUGCAAGAAUAACCCUUACAUGGACUCUCCUCAGGGAAUAGGAUAUGCAGUCACUAUAAGUGCACCUCAUAUGCAUGCUCAUGCUUUGGAGUUGUUGAAAGAUAAUUUGUAUGAAGGAGCAAAAGCAUUGGAUGUGGGUUCUGGCAGUGGCUAUCUUACAACUUGUAUGGCAUUGAUGGUUGGAGAGAAAGGUAAAGCUGUUGGAAUUGAUCAUAUUGAGAAUUUAGUUAACAUGUCCAUUGAAAAUGUUAAAAAAGAUCAGCCAGGACUUAUUGAAAGUGGGAGAAUAAAACUAGUCGUUGGUGAUGGGAGGCAAGGGUAUGAAGCAGAGGCUCCUUAUGAUGCUAUUCAUGUAGGGGCUGCUGCUCCUGAAUUGCCACCAGAGUUGGUAAAUCAGCUGAAAGUGGGUGGUAAACUGAUUGUACCUGUUGGAAGAGAAGGGCACAACCAGAUGCUAGAGCAGAUAGAAAAACUACCUGAUAACACCAUAAGGAGGACAUCCCUAAUGGGUGUUGUGUAUGUGCCCCUAACUGACAAAGAAGCACAAUGGCCUGGAAGGUUGUGUUCCAUUUUUUAAUAAACUCCAUUUCACUUAUGUAUAAAUUACUUUACUUUAAGCAACAUAUCUUUGACUCUUGAUCUAAGUAUCAACCAAGACAUUAUAAGGUGAAUUUACUAUAUGGAGUCAUGACCCAAGUGAAUUUUGAUAAGAGAUUCAUUCAAUAUUCAUCCUUUCUUUCAUCUUACCUGCAUAACAUCCCAGCGAUCGAAAGUGAGGCCCAAGCUGCAUGUAGGUGCCGAAGAAUUAGACAAACUGCCAAUAACACUUAACAUUGCUGAUCCUGAGCUCGCUGUUUUGAUUGAUUGUCUACAUUUCAAUAAAUUCAUGGAAUGCUUUCAUGUGUGAUUUGGUUUUAAGGGUGAAAGUAUAAAAGAAAAUGGAGUCGACAAAAUUUAUUUUUUUCCCUAUAGAAUAUAAUAAAUGUUGACAUUGUUUUGAGAAUGUGAAUAUUUGUCAUUGUUAUGUAUAAAUCGCUGUUGGGCACUCAACUUUAAAUCUAUGCAAAUAGUUCAUUGUUUAUAAUGGUCUGUUCAUAAUAGCGUUUAGACUAUGCCCUGAUGUGUGUUAUGUUUGAUUGUUAUUGAAAAUUAAAUAUAUUCAUGAACUGUAAAACUAAAUUCAUUAUUAAAAUAUUUCCUGAUGA